rnacentral:rRNA from 1 species
UGAACAAUCUGCCCUUCUCAUCGGAAUAAGCGUUGGAAACGACGUCUAAUGCCGAAUACGACCUCCUUUCGCAUGAUCGGAGGUGGGAAGCUCCGGCGGAGAAGGUUGAGCUCGCGGCCUAUCAGCUAGUUGGUGUGGGUAAUGGCCCACCAAGGCGACGACGGGUAGCCGGCCUGAGAGGGUGACCGGCCACACUGGGAACUGAGACACGGCCCAGGACCUCCGUAACGGGGAGGCAGC